rnacentral:rRNA from 1 species
GAAUAUUGGACAAUGGGGGCAACCCUGAUCCAGCCAUGCCGCGUGAGUGAAGAAGGCCUUCGGGUUGUAAAGCUCUUUCGGCGGGGACGAUGAUGACGGUACCCGCAUAAGAAGCCCCGGCAAACUUCGUGCCAGCAGCCGCGGUAAUACGAAGGGGGCUAGCGUUGUUCGGAAUUACUGGGCGUAAAGCGCGCGUAGGCGGUGAUCUUUGUCAGGGGUGAAAUCCCGGGGCUCAACCCCGGAAUUGCCUUUGAAACGGGAUCGCUAGAGUCCGAGAGAGGAUGGCGGAAUUCCUAGUGUAGAGGUGAAAUUCGUAGAUAUUAGGAAGAACACCGGUGGCGAAGGCGGCCAUCUGGCUCGGUACUGACGCUCAGGCGCGAAAGCGUGGGGAGCAAACAGG